UAGAACUUACUAGGCAGACCAGGCAGACCUUGAACUCACAGAGAUUGACCUCUGACUCUAGUGCUGGGAAUUAAGGUAUAUGUAACCAUAUUUGGAGGCAAAUAUUCUCUUAAUAAAAUACUUCUUUUCCUGUGAGCAUUGAUAGAUCAGGUUUCCCAGGAGUUGGUAUAUUUCAUUAAAUUUAUUAAUAAUAAAAUUGUGGGUUUUUCAUUUAGUUUUAUAGUGUGAAGAAUCAAGGCAGUGCCUUGUGCACAUUAGAGAACACCCUGUCCCUGAGCGACACCCUACUCCUCGCAGUUAUCAGCUUUAUUGUAUUAUUCUUUUAAUAUCCCUGAGACAUUUUGUGAUGAUCUUUAAUUUCUGAUAUUACAACUUUUUUUACUUUCCCUAGCUUUUUCUCAGUAGCCUGGAUGGUUGCUUAUUGAUCUUAUUAUUAUUUUUUCCCAAAGAACUCAAUUUGAGAUUUGUUGAAAUUUUUUUUCAAUUUCAUUGAUUUCUGCUGUAGCUCCCAUUAUUUCUCUCUGCUUACAUUGGGUUUAAUAUGCCCUCUUUUUAUCUAGUUCCCUAAAGUAUAAGCUUUUAAUAUUAAUUUUAUAUCUCCCUUUUUACCAAAAGCACAUUCAAUAUUGCUGAUUACAACCAAAGCACUGCCUUGGCUGUGUACUGUGGAUCUGGCAUAAGAGCAGCCAUUGAGUGGUUUGUGUUCAAUUUGCUAUGGCGCUUCGAUGUAUGGGGUGUGUUUCCAUGGUAGGAGCACCUGCCAGGUACACACAUGCGCGGGACCCUGGGGUCAGUCUACAGCAUGAAAAGAAGCCACUCAAACUGAGCUAAGAAUUCUGGUUACCUGGAUACCCGCCCCUUAACCAUUCACAGUGGCAUACUAGAGAGGAUGAAGGGAGAAAAACCAUGGUUGGCUGUGCAUUGUUCUCCUUGGUAUGCACUGGACUUUUGCAAAAGGAUGGACCGCAUCACUAAGCAAGUCUGGAGCUUGCCAUCAGCCUCAGAUUUACUUCUCUCAUCUUUUCCAGGCAGUCUUUGGGGAGAUGAACAUCGUUGAUUUAAUUGUCUUUUAAUCCACUCUAGACCAUAACUACACACAUUCUUAUUUCUGUGAGUGAAUGAUUGAACAGCUAUAUCCCUAAAACUAUUAGAUUCAGAGAGUAUAUUGAUUUGGAGUCUUGGAACAAGAGUGGUCAAUACACUGUUUGGUAUUUUAUCUCACUUAGAUUAAAAAAUUCCUGGAGAUACUGGAGUCCGUGGUUCUUCUUUUUGAAUUAAGGAUCAUAAUGGCUGAG